rnacentral:ncRNA from 2 species
GAAUUAUAAAGAGGAGCGUAGAGAACAGGCUCGAUGAUGCUCCGACAACCCCGGGAAAAUCCCGGAAGGUGCCAAAACCUGCCAGCCAAGAACGCUGGAAUUAUAAUUU